AUACGGAGGAUGCAAGCGUUACUCGGAAUCACUGGGCGUAAAGGACGCGUAGGCGGGAUGGUAAGUCUGAUGUGAAAUCCUACAGCUUAACUGUAGAACUGCAUUGGAAACUACUAACCUAGAGUAUGGGAGGGGGAGAUGGAAUUAGUGGUGUAGGGGUAAAAUCAGUAGAUAUCACUAGGAAUACCUAAAGCGAAGGCGAUCUCCUGGAACAAUACUGACGCUAAGGCGUGAAAGCGUGGGGAGCAAACGGGAUUAGAAACCCCAGUAGUCC
rnacentral:rRNA from 1 species